AGAGAGUUUUGCUCUGGCUCCUUUAAUUGGUGUUAAUUUGUUCUUGUUGAAGUGCAUGCGAGUAAUAGCCUACCCACAAGAUAUAUAAUAAGCUAAAAGCUAUAGUUAUAAAAUAUUACAUUAGGUAACGAAAACUUAAAAGGUGUCUUGUAAAUGCAGUACAUAAUAUUACAAAAAUGGCGAAAGCCAGUAGAAGAGAAGGAGAUUAUAGAUGGAGAAAGUUGUGCCAGCAUCCGCGGUUACACAACUAUCUAAAGAUUAACUAUUAGGUUAUAUGGUGUAUAUACGUACUAGGAGAAAUAAAUGAGAGGAUAAAGGUAUAAUUUAUCAUAUCUUUUGUUUAUUCGGUUCUUCUUAAGUGUUGUUAACCAUGAAAGUUUCUUGUAGGACUAGGAUUAGAGACCCUAUUACUAGUAACCUUAAAUAAAAAAUACCAGGGUAUUACGGGAAGCUGACUUAAAACCUAAAGAGCUUGGCGGCUUUUUAUAAAACCAGGGGAGCUUGUCAUGUAAACGAUGAUCCGCGUUAAAUUCUACCUUCCCUAGGAUUCAGUUUGUAUACCUCCGUCUAAAGUUAACCUUGAUAAAAGAAAAGUAGUUAGCGUGAGAAAGUAUUUUCUUUACGUCAGGUCAAGGUGCAGCUUAUGGGAAGGAAUGGGUGAGCUACUUUACUAUUAGUGAAUGGUCUCGUUAGCUAAAGCUAAGGAGUAAACAGUACUUGGUAGUAAUUUUGUUUUAAAAUGACAAGAUGAAAUUAUCAUUAAAAAGUGCACAAAUCGCCCGUCGAUCCUCCCUAAAGGGAGGAUAAGUCGUAACAAAGUAGUCUUACUUGAAAGUGUGUCUAGGUGGUG
rnacentral:ncRNA from 1 species